rnacentral:rRNA from 1 species
UACAGAGGUGCCGAGCGUUAGGCGGAAUCACUGGGCUUAAAGCGUGUGUAGGCGGAUCGUUAAGUGCCUUGUGAAAUCCCACGGCUCACCCGUGGAACUGCUGGGCAUACUGGCGGUCUUGAGCCACCUAGGGGCAACCGGAACAAACGGUGGAGCGGUGAAAUGCGUAGAUAUCGUUUGGAACGCCAAUGGUGAAAACAGGUUGCUGGGGGUGUGCUGACGCUGAGACACGAAAGCCAGGGGAGCAAACGGG